rnacentral:rRNA from 1 species
UAGCGUAUAUUAAAGUUGUUGCAGUUAAAACGCUCGUAGUCGGAUUUCGGGGCCUGCCUGCCGGUCUGCCGAUGGGUAUGCACUGGCAGGCGCGUCCUUCCUUCCGGAGACUGUCCCUACUCUUAACUGAGCGGGGUCGGGAGACGGAUCGUUUACUUUGAAAAAAUCAGAGUGUUUCAAGCAGGCAGCUCGCUCUUGCAUGGAUUAGCAUGGGAUAAUGAAAUAGGACUUUGGUGCUAUUUUGUUGGUUUCGAACACCGAAGUAAUGAUUAACAGGGACAGUCAGGGGCACUCGUAUUCCGCCGAGAGAGGUGAAAUUCUCAGACCAGCGGAAGACGAACCACUGCGAAAGCAUUUG